ACGAACGCUGGCGGCGUGCCUAAUACAUGCAAGUUGAGCGCUGAAGGUUGGUACUUGUACCAACUGGAUGAGCAGCGAACGGGUGAGUAACGCGUGGGGAAUCUGCCUUUGAGCGGGGGACAACAUUUGGAAACGAAUGCUAAUACCGCAUAAAAACUUUAAACACAAGUUUUAAGUUUGAAAGAUGCAAUUGCAUUACUCAAAGAUGAUCCCGCGUUGUAUUAGCUAGUUGGUGAGGUAAAGGCUCACCAAGGCGAUGAUACAUAGCCGACCUGAGAGGGUGAUCGGCCACAUUGGGACUGAGACACGGCCCAAACUCCUACGGGAGGCAGCAGUAGGGAAUCUUCGGCAAUGGACGAAAGUCUGACCGAGCAACGCCGCGUGAGUGAAGAAGGUUUUCGGAUCGUAAAACUCUGUUGGUAGAGAAGAACGUUGGUGAGAGUGGAAAGCUCAUCAGGUGACGGUAACUACCCAGAAAGGGACGGCUAACUACGUG
rnacentral:rRNA from 1 species